rnacentral:tRNA from 1 species
AAAUAAGAAGCAAUUAAUUGCAUUUAGUUUCGACCUAAAAAUCUGGUUUUAACCCUUAUUUA